rnacentral:rRNA from 1 species
UACGUAGGGACCAAGCGUUGUCCGGAAUCAUUGGGCGUAAAGAGCGUGUAGGCGGCUUGUUAAGUCUUGCGUGAAAUCUCGGGGCUCAACCCCGAGCGGUCGUGAGAAACUGGCAGGCUAGAGUGCGGGAGAGGAGAGUGGAAUUCCUGGUGUAGCGGUGAAAUGCGCAGAUAUCAGGAGGAACACCAGCGGCGAAGGCGGCGCUCUGGGCCGGUACUGACACUGAGGAGCGAAAGCGUGGGUAGCAAACAGG